GUCAGGAUGGCCGAGUGGUCUAAGACGCCAGACUCAAGUUCUUGGGGCAUGGGUUCAAAUCCCACUCCUGACA